AUUGAACGCUGGCGGCAGGCCUAACACAUGCAAGUCGAGCGGCAGCGGGAAAGUAGCUUGCUACUUUUGCCGGCGAGCGGCGGACGGGUGCGUAAUGCCUGGGGAUCUGCCCAGUCGAGGGGGGUAACUACUGGAAACGGUAGCUCAUACCGCAUGCGCCCCCCGGGGGAAAGCAGGGGACACUCUGGCCGUGCGCGAUUAGGUGAACCCAGGUGGGAUUAGCUAGUUGGUGAGGUAAUGGCUCACCAAGGCGACGAUCCCUAGCUGGUCUGAGAGGAUGAGCAGCCACACUGGAACUGAGACACGGUCCAGACUCCUACGGGAGGCAGCAGCGGGGAAUAUUGCACAAUGGGGGAAACCCUGAUGCAGCCAUGCCGCGUGUGUGAAGAAGGCCUUCGGGUUGUAAAGCACUUUCAACGAGGAGGAAAGGUUGGUAGCUAAUAACUGCCAGCUGUGACGUUACUCGCAGAAGAAGCACCGGCUAACUCCGUGCCAGCAGCCGCCGCAGUAA
rnacentral:rRNA from 1 species